GUCCUUCGAGUUCUCUCAGUCCAUCAUCACCACUCUUCACUCACCUGGAAGCUCCCUAGGGCAGUCGUUCCACCCAGAGGAGUCGCAUCCCUCGCCUCCGAUGGAAAUGGCCACCGCAACCUCCCUGUUAAAUUCGUCGCACCCACAAGCUCCUACCUAGAAGUUUCUUAGCUAGUAGACUUUCCCAAUCAUCGCGAGCCCCUUCCACCUAUCAAUUGCUUUCAGGAGCGAACCAUGGACGAAGCCCCAUGCCUCACGUAGCUCCCUCCGCCAUGGUUAAGGUCCUGCUCGACCUCGAGCUCCUCGGCGCUCCCCUCUAACUCCAUCGGAUUGGGACCAUCCUCCUGAUAACCCUUGUGUCGAGCGUCGGAAAUGGCACCCCCUAGCACCGACAAUCAUCGCCGGGGCGGCCCCCCUAUUUCUCCCGAGGAGCGUGAGAGGAGGGAGACAAAUCCGACAGGUGGGUCCCAUCUUUUGGUGAGCCAACUUUUGCCACCGGUGAUGCCCUCUCGAAGGAAACGUACUCCUCUUGCGUAUUUGAAGAGGAACAAUAUGACGACAACCCUGCAACCUAGGCAUUGAAGAUAGCAGCUUCGCGAGAUAGGAAUUUUCCACGUCAACUCUUCCUGUGGGGAUCGAGUCCCAUAGAUGUUGGAGUUCCACGAGGUGCUACUGCCAUCAGCCACUAGAAAUCUUUGUUGUACUCCAUGGACCAUCAUGGUCUUGUACUCCAAACUAUGUAAUUGCUUGGAAAUUAUGUAUCAAGGAAGUGUCCACUAGUUAACAGUAA